CAUGCAGUCGAGCGAACAGACGAGGAGCUUGCUCCUUUGACGUUAGCGGCGGACGGGUGAGUAACACGUGGGUAACCUACCUAUAAGACUGGGAUAACUUCGGGAAACCGGAGCUAAUACCGGAUAAUAUUUCGAACCGCAUGGUUCGAUAGUGAAAGAUGGCUCUGCUAUCACUUAUAGAUGGACCUGCGCCGUAUUAGCUAGUUGGUAAGGUAACGGCUUACCAAGGCAACGAUACGUAGCCGACCUGAGAGGGUGAUCGGCCACACUGGAACUGAGACACGGUCCAGACUCCUACGGGAGGCAGCAGUAGGGAAUCUUCCGCAAUGGGCGAAAGCCUGACGGAGCAACGCCGCGUGAGUGAUGAAGGUCUUCGGAUCGUAAAACUCUGUUAUUAGGGAAGAACAAACGUGUAAGUAACUGUGCACGUCUUGACGGUACCUAAUCAGAAAGCCACGGCUAACUACGUGCCAGCAGCCGCGGUAAUACGUAGGUGGCAAGCGUUAUCCGGAAUUAUUGGGCGUAAAGCGCGCGUAGGCGGUUUUUUAAGUCUGAUGUGAAAGCCCACGGCUCAACCGUGGAGGGUCAUUGGAAACUGGAAAACUUGAGUGCAGAAGAGGAAAGUGGAAUUCCAUGUGUAGCGGUGAAAUGCGCAGAGAUAUGGAGGAACACCAGUGGCGAAGCGACUUUCUGGUCUGUAACUGACGCUGAUGUGCGAAAGCGUGGGGAUCAAACAGA
rnacentral:rRNA from 1 species